rnacentral:rRNA from 1 species
UACGGGGGGGGCAAGCGUUGUUCGGAAUUACUGGGCGUAAAGGGCUCGUAGGCGGCCAACUAAGUCAGACGUGAAAUCCCCAGGCUCAACCUGGGAACUGCGUCUGAUACUGGUUGGCUUGAAUCCGGGAGAGGGAUGCAGAAUUCCAGGUGUAGCGGUGAAAUGCGUAGAUAUCUGGAGGAAUACCGGUGGCGAAGGCGGCAUCCUGGACCGGUAUUGACGCUGAGGCGCGAAAGCCAGGGGAGCAAACGGG